rnacentral:rRNA from 1 species
GACGGAGGGGGCUAGCGUUGUUCGGAAUUACUGGGCGUAAAGAGCGCGUAGGCGGUUUAGUAAGUUGGAAGUGAAAGCCCGGGGCUUAACCUCGGAAUUGCUUUCAAAACUGCUAAUCUAGAGUUUAGUAGGGGAUGAUGGAAUUCCUAGUGUAGAGGUGAAAUUCUUAGAUAUUAGGAGGAACACCGGAGGCGAAGGCGGUCAUCUGGGCUAUAACUGACGCUGAUGCGCGAAAGCGUGGGGAGCAAACAGG